rnacentral:rRNA from 1 species
GACAGAGGGUGCAAACGUUGUUCGGAAUUACUGGGCGUAAAGGGCGCGUAGGCGGCGACUCAAGUUAGAUGUGAAAGUCCUGGGCUUAACCUGGGGACUGCAUUUGAUACUGGGUUGCUUGAAUUCGGGAGAGGAUAGCGGAAUUCCCAGUGUAGAGGUGAAAUUCAUAGAUAUUCGGAAGAACACCAGUGGCGAAGGCGACUUACUGGACACAUAUUGACGCUGAGGUGCGAAAGCGUGGGGAGCAAACAGG